rnacentral:rRNA from 1 species
CGAAGGUGGCAAGCGUUACUCGGAAUUACUAGGCGUAAAGGGCAGGUAGGCGGUUUGGUUAGUCUGUUGUGAAAGCUCCUUGCUUAACGGGGAGAGGCCAACAGAUACUGCCAGGCUUGAGUAUAGGAGAGGGUACUGGAAUUCCCGGUGUAGCGGUGAAAUGCGCAGAGAUCGGGAGGAACACCAAUGGCGAAAGCAGGUACCUGGACUAUUACUGACGCUCAGCUGCGAAAGCUAGGGGAGCAAACAGGAUUAGAUACCCUGGUAGUCCUAGCCGUAAACGAUGCACAUUAGGCGUGAGGGGUAUCGACCCCCUUCGUGCCGAAGCAAACGCAUUAAAUGUGCCGCCUGGGGAGUACGGCCGCAAGGUUG